rnacentral:rRNA from 1 species
CCUACGGGAGGCAGCAGUAGGGAAUAUUGCUCAAUGGGGGAAACCCUGAAGCAGCAACGCCGCGUGGAGGAUGAAGGUUUUCGGAUUGUAAACUCCUUUUGUUAGAGAAGAUAAUGACGGUAUCUAACGAAUAAGCGACGGCUAACUCCGUGCCAGCAGCCGCGGUAAUCCGGAGGGUGCACGCGUUACUCGGAAUCACUGGGCGGAAAGAGCGCGUAGGUGGGAUAGCAAGGAAGAUGUGAAAUCCUAUGGCUUAACCAUAGAACUGCAGUUGAAACUGUUAUUCUAGAGUUUGGGAGAGGUAGGUGGAAGUCUUGGUGUAGUGGUGAAAUCCGUAGAGAUCAAGAGGAAUACUCAUUGCGAAGGCGGCCUGCUAGCACAUAACUGACGCUGAUGCGCGAAAGCGUGGGGAGCAAACAGGAUUAGAUACCCGGGUAGUC